UUCCUGGUGGUCCAGUGGCUAAGACUCUGCACUCUCCAUGCAGAGGGCCCUGGUUCAAUCCCUGGUCAGGGAG
rfam:TPA: Bos taurus chromosome 19, whole genome shotgun sequence.